rnacentral:rRNA from 1 species
GAUGAACGCUGGCGGCGUGCCUAAUACAUGCAAGUCGAGCGAACGGACGAGAAGCUUGCUUUUCUGAUGUUAGCGGCGGACGGGUGAGUAACACGUGGAUAACCUACCUAUAAGACUGGGAUAACUUCGGGAAACCGGAGCUAAUACCGGAUAAUAUUUUGAACCGCAUGGUUCAAAAGUGAAAGACGGUCUUGCUGUCACUUAUAGAUGGAUCCGCGCUGCAUUAGCUAGUUGGUAAGGUAACGGCUUACCAAGGCAACGAUGCAUAGCCGACCUGAGAGGGUGAUCGGCCACACUGGAACUGAGACACGGUCCAGACUCCUACGGGAGGCAGCAGUAGGGAAUCUUCCGCAAUGGGCGAAAGCCUGACGGAGCAACGCCGCGUGAGUGAUGAAGGUCUUCGGAUCGUAAAACUCUGUUAUUAGGGAAGAACAUAUGUGUAAGUAACUGUGCACAUCUUGACGGAACCUAAUCAGAAAGCCACGGCUAACUACGUG